AAACCAUGAUUAGGACACCUUUUCAACAUAGAAUUGAACCUUUCCCAUGCUUCAAAUAAUGUUUCAGUAGAUCCUUGGAAAAAUACAACAAUGGUUAUCUUGGCUU